AUAAGCUAUAAAGGGCGCGCGGUGGAUGCCUUGGGGCAAGGGGCCGAUGAAGGACGUGGUAAGCGACGAUAUUCCUCGGGGAGCUGCAAUCGAGCUUUGAUCCGGGGGUUUCCGAAUGGGGUAACCCGGCGUCAUGAAUAAUGACGUCGCAUUCAGGUGAAUAGAUAGCCUGUCUGUGGGCAGCUGGUGAACUGAAACAUCUAAGUAGCCAGACGAAAAGAAAGUAAUAACGAUUCCGUAAGUAGCGGCGAGCGAACGCGGAUCAGUCCAAACCUGUGUUGUGUGAUAGGCGGCAGCCGUUGCAGCAUGGGGGUUGUGGGACCAUACAUUGUGAUCUGCCGAUUACAGGUGAGUCAAAAAUCCAUAUUUUAUACGAACGCGCUGGGAGGCGUGGGCAUAGCGGGUGAGACCCCCUUAGUUUAAAAGAUAUGGACUUACUGUUAUGGCACCCAAGUACCGCGGGACACGAGGAACCCUGUGGGAAUCCGGGAGGACCAUCUUCCAAGACUAAAUACCUCUUGCCACCGAUAGCGCAUAAGUACCGUGAGGGAAAGGUGAAAAGCACCCCGGGAGGGGAGUGAAAUAGUUCCUGAAACCGCGUCGCCUACAAGCAGUCGGAGCUCAGUUUACAGCUUGCUGUAACGAGUGACGGCGUGCCUUUUGCAGAAUGAGCCUGCGAGUUAACGUAUGUUGCGAGCUUAAGUGUUUUAGACACGUAGGCGUAGCGAAAGCGAGUCUGAAUAAGGCGUAUUAGUAGCAUGUGUUAGACCCGAAACCGUGUGAUCUACCCAUGGCCAGGUUGAAGCGGGGGUAAUACCUCGUGGAGGACCGAACCGUUGUAUGUUGAAAAAUGCUCGGAUGAGCUGUGGGUAGGGGUGAAAUGCCAAUCGAACACGGAGAUAGCUGGUUCUCCUCGAAAUGCAUUUAGGUGCAGCGUGUGAUGUUCACCAACGGAGGUAGAGCACUGAAUAGUCGAUGGGCCCUCCAAGGUUACUGAGAUUAAUCAAACUCCGAAUGCCGUUGGUUCAAGUCAUGCAGUGAGACAGUGGGGGAUAAGCUUCAUUGUCGAAAGGGGAACAGCCCAGACCCACUGCUAAGGUCCCUAAGUGGCGGCUAAGUGUAAAAGGAUGUGGGACUACGUAAACAGCCAGGAUGUUGGCUUAGAAGCAGCCAUCAUUUAAAGAGUGCGUAACAGCUUACUGGCCGAAUGUAGUCCUGCGCCGAUAAUGUAAGGGGGCUCAAGCCGCCCACCGAAGCAUGGGAAGUCGCUUUUUAGCGGCUUGGUAGAGGAGCGUUGAUACUGGGGUGAAGCAUGAGCGUAAGCACAUGUGGACUUGUAUCAAGUGCGGAUGCAGGCAUAAGUAGCGAGAAGAUGGGUGAGAAUCCCAUCCACCGAAAACCUAAGGUUUCCGCGGCCAGGUUCGUCCGCCGCGGGUUAGUCGGGCCUAAGCCGAGGACGAUUGUCGUAGGCGAUGGACACACGGUUCAUAUUCCGUGACAGUGCAUGAAGGUUAUACGUCUGGGGACGGAUUGGAAGAGGUUUCCUAAGUUAUUGGCUUACUGAGCGGAUCCUUCGGGUGAAGUGCAGAAGUUUCUUCCGGUUCCAAGAAAAGCCAUGACGGUACGACAUGUACUCCCGUACCGCAAUCCGACACAGGUAGGUAGGUAGAGAAUACCAAGGUGUUCGAGAUAACUCACGCUAAGGAACUAGGCAAUCUAACCCCGUAACUUCGGGAGAAGGGGUGCUGGCGCAAGCCAGCCGCAGUGAAAUGGCCCGAGCGACUGUUUACCAAAAACACAGGUCUCUGCAAAAGCGAAAGCUGACGUAUAGGGGCUGACGCCUGCCCAAUGCCAGAAUGUUAACAGGAGAGGUCAGCGCAAGCGAAGCUUUGAAUCGAAGCACUGGUGAAUGGCGGCCGUAACUAUAACGGUCCUAAGGUAGCGAAAUUCCUUGUCGGG
rnacentral:rRNA from 1 species